rnacentral:rRNA from 1 species
AUUGAACGCUGGCGGCAGGCCUAACACAUGCAAGUCGAACGAGUGGCGGACGGGUGAGUAAUGUGUGGGAAACUGCCUGAUGGGGGGGGAAAAAUACUGGAAACGGUAGCUUAUACCGCAUACCAUCAGAAGAGCCUAGAUGGGAUUAGCUAGUGGGUGGGGUAACGGCUCACCAAGGCGACGAUCCCUAGCUGGUCUGAGAGGAUGACCAGCCACACUGGAACUGAGACACGGUCCAGACUCCUACGGGAGGCAGCAGUGGGGAAUAUUGCACAAUGGGCGCAAGCCUGAUGCAGCCAUGCCGCGUGUAUGAAGAAGGCCUUCGGGUUGUAAAGUACUUUCAGCGGGGAGGCGUUACCCGCAGAAGAAGCACCGGCUAACUCCGUGCCAGCAGCCGCGGUAAUAC